UACGUAGGGGGCAAGCGUUGUCCGGAUUUAUUGGGCGUAAAGAGCGUGUAGGCGGCUAGAUAGGUCCGUUGUGAAAACUCGAGGCUCAACCUCGAGACGUCGAUGGAAACCAUCUGGCUAGAGUCCGGAAGAGGAGAGUGGAAUUCCUGGUGUAGCGGUGAAAUGCGUAGAGAUCUGGAAGAACACCAAAGGCGAAGGCAGCGUCCUGGGAAGUGACUGACGCUCAUGUGCGAAAGCUAGGGGAGCGAACGGG
rnacentral:rRNA from 1 species